GCCUCUGUGGAUUAAUGUAAAUCAUCUCUCCUCAAUAUUGAGGGAUCCGUGUAAAUUGGUUGAAGAGGAAGAUGUGGGUUCGAAUCCCACCAGAGGCA